rnacentral:rRNA from 1 species
AGAGUUUGAUCAUGGCUCAGAAUCAACGCUGGCGGCGUGCCUAACACAUGCAAGUCGAACGAGAAAGUGGAGCAAUCCAUGAGUAAAGUGGCGCACGGGUGAGUAACACGUGACUAACCUACCCUUGAGUGGGGAAUAACUUCGGGAAACCGAGGCUAAUACCGCAUAACACCUACGGGUCAAAGGAGCAAUUCGCUUAAGGAGGGGGUCGCGGCAGAUUAGUUAGUUGGCGGGGUAAUGGCCCACCAAGACGGUGAUCUGUAUCCGGCCUGAGAGGGCGCACGGACACACUGGAACUGAAACACGGUCCAGACUCCUACGGGAGGCAGCAGUGGGGAAUUUUGCGCAAUGGGGGAAACCCUGACGCAGCAACGCCGCGUGGAGGAUGAAGUCCCUUGGGACGUAAACUCCUUUCGAUCGGGACGAUUAUGACGGUACCGGAAGAAGAAGCCCCGGCUAACUUCGUGCCAGCAGCCGCGGUAAUACGAGGGGGGCGAGCGUUGUUCGGAAUUAUUGGGCGUAAAGGGCGCGUAGGCGGCUGGAUAAGUCUUGUGUGAAAUCUUCGGGCUCAACUCGAAGUCUGCACAGGAAACUAUCCGGCUUGAGUGUGGGAGAGGUGAGUGGAAUUCCUGGUGUAGCGGUGAAAUGCGUAGAUAUCAGGAGGAACACCUGUGGCGAAAGCGGCUCACUGGACCACAACUGACGCUGAGGCGCGAAAGCUAGGGGAGCAAACAGGAUUAGAUACCCUAGUAGUCC